UACAGAGGGGGCAAGCGUUGUUCGGAAUUACUGGGCGUAAAGGGCGCGUAGGCGGCCUUCUAAGUCAGACGUGAAAUCCCCGGGCUCAACCCGGGAACUGCGUCUGAGACUGGAAGGCUUGAAUCCGGGAGAGGGAUGUGGAAUUCCAGGUGUAGCGGUGAAAUGCGUAGAUAUCUGGAGGAACACCGGUGGCGAAGGCGGCAUCCUGGACCGGCAUUGACGCUGAGGCGCGAAAGCAUGGGUAGCGAACAGG
rnacentral:rRNA from 1 species